rnacentral:rRNA from 1 species
UAAUACAUGCAAGUCGAACGAACUCUGGUAUUGAUUGGUGCUUGCAUCAUGAUUUACAUUUGAGUGAGUGGCGAACUGGUGAGUAACACGUGGGAAACCUGCCCAGAAGCGGGGGAUAACACCUGGAAACAGAUGCUAAUACCGCAUAACAACUUGGACCGCAUGGUCCGAGUUUGAAAGAUGGCUUCGGCUAUCACUUUUGGAUGGUCCCGCGGCGUAUUAGCUAGAUGGUGGGGUAACGGCUCACCAUGGCAAUGAUACGUAGCCGACCUGAGAGGGUAAUCGGCCACAUUGGGACUGAGACACGGCCCAAACUCCUACGGGAGGCAGCAGUAGGGAAUCUUCCACAAUGGACGAAAGUCUGAUGGAGCAACGCCGCGUGAGUGAAGAAGGGUUUCGGCUCGUAAAACUCUGUUGUUAAAGAAGAACAUAUCUGAGAGUAACUGUUCAGGUAUUGACGGUAUUUAACCAGAAAGCCACGGCUAACUACGUGCCAGCAGCCGCGGUAAUACGUAGGUGGCAAGCGUUGUCCGGAUUUAUUGGGCGUAAAGCGAGCGCAGGCGGUUUUUUAAGUCUGAUGUGAAAGCCUUCGGCUCAACCGAAGAAGUGCAUCGGAAACUGGGAAACUUGAGUGCAGAAGAGGACAGUGGAACUCCAUGUGUAGCGGUGAAAUGCGUAGAUAUAUGGAAGAACACCAGUGGCGAAGGCGGCUGUCUGGUCUGUAACUGACGCUGAGGCUCGAAAGUAUGGGUAGCAAACAGGAGUAGAGACCAAGGUAGUCCAUACCGUAAACGAUGAAUGCUAAGUGUUGGUAGGGUUUCCGCCCUUCAGUGCUGCAGCUAACGCAUUAAGCAUUCCGCCUGGGGAGUACGGCCGCAAGGCUGAAACUUAAAGGAAUUGACGGGGGCCCGCACAAGCGGUGGAGCAUGUGGUUUAAUUCGAAGCUACGCGAAGAACCUUACCAGGUCUUGACAUACUAUGCAAAUCUAAGAGAUUAGACGUUCCCUUCGGGGACAUGGAUACAGGUGGUGCAUGGUUGUCGUCAGCUCGUGUCGUGAGAUGUUGGGUUAAGUCCCGCAACGAGCGCAACCCUUAUUAUCAGUUGCCAGCAUUAAGUUGGGCACUCUGGUGAGACUGCCGGUGACAAACCGGAGGAAGGUGGGGAUGACGUCAAAUCAUCAUGCCCCUUAUGACCUGGGCUACACACGUGCUACAAUGGAUGGUACAACGAGUUGCGAACUCGCGAGAGUAAGCUAAUCUCUUAAAGCCAUUCUCAGUUCGGAUUGUAGGCUGCAACUCGCCUACAUGAAGUCGGAAUCGCUAGUAAUCGCGGAUCAGCAUGCCGCGGUGAAUACGUUCCCGGGCCUUGUACACACCGCCCGUCACACCAUGAGAG